UACGUAGGGUGCGAGCGUUUGUCCGGAAUUACUGGGCGUAAAGAGCUCGUAGGUGGUUUGUCGCGUUGUUCGUGAAAACUCACAGCUUAACUGUGGGCGUGCGGGCGAUACGGGCAGACUGGAGUACUGCAGGGGAGACUGGAAUUCCUGGUGUAGCGGUGGAAUGCGCAGAUAUCAGGCGGAACACCCCGUGGCGAAGGCGGCCAGCUGGGUCGUCCCUGACGCUGAGGCGCGAAGGCGUGGGGAGCGAACGGG
rnacentral:rRNA from 1 species